GACGAACGCUGGCGGCGUGCUUAACACAUGCAAGUCGAACGGAAAGGCCCUGCUUUUGUGGGGUGCUCGAGUAGCGAACGGGUGAGUAACACGUGAGUAACCUGCCCUUGACUUUGGGAUAACUUCAGGAAACUGGGGCUAAUACCGGAUAGGAGCUCCUGCUGCAUGGUGGGGGUUGGAAAGUUUCGGCGGUUGGGGAUGGACUCGCGGCUUAUCAGCUUGUUGGUGGGGUAGUGGCUUACCAAGGCUUUGACGGGUAGCCGGCCUGAGAGGGUGACCGGCCACAUUGGGACUGAGAUACGGCCCAGACUCCUACGGGAGGCAGCAGUGGGGAAUAUUGCACAAUGGGCGGAAGCCUGAUGCAGCAACGCCGCGUGCGGGAUAACGGCCUUCGGGUUGUAAACCGCUUUCGCCUGUGACGAAGCGUGAGUGACGGUAAUGGGUAAAGAAGCACCGGCUAACUACGUG
rnacentral:rRNA from 1 species